AUUGAACGCUGGCGGCAUGCUUUACACAUGCAAGUCGAACGGAUUUUGGAGCUUGCUCCAGAGUUAGUGGCGAACGGGUGAGUAAUAUAUCGGAACGUACCCGGCAAUGGGGGAUAACGUAGCGAAAGUUACGCUAAUACCGCAUAUGCCCUGAGGGGGAAAGCAGGGGACCAGUAAUGGCCUUGCGUUGUCGGAGCGGCCGAUAUGGGAUUAGCUAGUUGGUGAGGUAAAGGCUCACCAAGGCGACGAUCCGUAGCGGGUCUGAGAGGAUGAUCCGCCACACUGGGACUGAGACACGGCCCAGACUCCUACGGGAGGCAGCAGUGGGGAAUUUUGGACAAUGGGCGAAAGCCUGAUCCAGCCAUGCCGCGUGAGUGAAGAAGGCCUUCGGGUUGUAAAGCUCUUUCAGGUGGAAAGAAAAGGUUACGGAUAAUACCUGUAACUGAUGACGGUACCAUCAGAAGAAGCACCGGCUAACUACGUGCCAGCAGCCGCCGUAAGAC
rnacentral:rRNA from 1 species